rnacentral:rRNA from 1 species
GACGAACGCUGGCGGCGUGCCUAAUACAUGCAAGUCGAGCGAAUCAAUGGGAGCUUGCUCCCGGAGAUUAGCGGCGGACGGGUGAGUAACACGUGGGCAACCUGCCUGUAAGACUGGGAUAACUUCGGGAAACCGGAGCUAAUACCGGAUAGUUUCUUCCCUCUCCUGAGGGAAGAUGGAAAGACGGCAUCUCGCUGUCACUUACAGAUGGGCCCGCGGCGCAUUAGCUAGUUGGUGAGGUAACGGCUCACCAAGGCGACGAUGCGUAGCCGACCUGAGAGGGUGAUCGGCCACACUGGGACUGAGACACGGCCCAGACUCCUACGGGAGGCAGCAGUAGGGAAUCUUCCGCAAUGGACGAAAGUCUGACGGAGCAACGCCGCGUGAGCGAUGAAGGCCUUCGGGUCGUAAAGCUCUGUUGUUAGGGAAGAACAAGUAUCGGAGUAACUGCCGGUACCUUGACGGUACCUAACCAGAAAGCCACGGCUAACUACGUGCCAGCCGCCGCAGUAAAAC